ACAAAAUUGCCACCGCCUCUUUAUUCUUCGUUCGGUGAGCCGUGCUUCAGCCAAAACAGGUGCUCUCUCCAUUUUUCAUCUCUUCCAUACUCAAACCCUAGCCGCUCCACUUCUCUCUCUCAUCUCCCUUCGUUAGCUCUACCUACAACUCAAAACCUCGACAAAACACAAUUCCCCUUCUGCAAAAGCUUUCUCUCUCGCUUUGUUGUCUAUGUAAACCCGAGAGAAAUUCCAUGGAAACAUCACGCCUGCAAACGAAGUUGCAGGCCCACACACAAGCAAACUCCAUCUGAAAGCCGAAGAAUCCAAAGGUAAAUCCCUUCGAACUCUUCGAUUAUGAACGUCCAUCGUCUUCCUCCUCAUCUUCUUCUUCUGCUACUGCUUCGACCAGUAGGGAUACUUGAGGCCCGAAUCGAACGGUCAGGGUUUUGAUGGAGGGUUUGGCGGGUCCGACGAUCCCAUUUUGCCAGCGCCGUCGGAGAUGCUGCCUGAGGAGGGCUUCGCUCUCAGAGAAUGGAGGAGGGAGAAUUUCUCUCUCAAAUCAGUGUUCUUUGAUUCAUUUGGUAAAAACCCUUUUGGAUUUAGAGGCAGAUUAAGGGUUUUGAAUUGGGCAGAAGCCAUGGCAGCUCCAAAACCAGAAGAGAUAAGCCAUCCAGCAAUGGACCAACUCCAAGGCUUAGGGGGAAACAAUUGCUUUGGGUUUCCAGCACUACAUUUUGGCCUUGGGAACUGCUGUGAUGAUCCCCACAUUCCGUGUUCCUUUGAUGGGUGGUGAUGAUGUGAGUUGAUUUUGUAUACCACUUUCAUUCAAUUCUUAUAUCGUUGUGGCCUUUGUUCAAUUGGAGACUAAAUUCAAGGUGACAAAGUGAGAAUAGUGCAGACUCUGCUUUUUAUUCAAGGAAUCAGCACACUUCUACAAACAUUAUUUUGAACCCGAUUACCAACCGUAAUUGGAGGGUUUACACAUUCGUGGUCUGAAUAAUAUCCAUAAUUCAUGAUUCACGGUUGAUGAAGAUUGAGGACUAUCAUGCGAAAUGGGCCAAAAGAAUCCUGAUAUAUAUAUUUUACUAAUAAAGAAGGGAAACGCAACACUGAAUGUCUCACUUGGGGAAUUGAUAAAGAGCGGGUUUUAAGAGGCCGCACUGCUGUUGAGGUUUACUUCGACCACUUGAGGAGCUUCAGAGUUGAAUUUGAUGAGUUUUUUGAGGAAGGAAUAAUAUCAGAAAUUGAAGUUGGAUUAGGUCCGUGUGGAGAGCUACAAUAUCCUUCUUAUCCUGAACAGCAUGGUUGGAAAUAUCCUGGUAUUGGUGAAUUCCAGUGAAAAAUUAAAGAUAUUGGAUUGGGGGGAGGAUAGCCGAAACUGCUGCUCUUCGGGCGUCGUUUCAGCAAGAGGUUGAUGUUUGGCAUAAGCUUGACCACCCAAAUAUCCCAAAGCACUGCUAGGACAUGCAAUUGCAUUUUAAUUGUUCAUGAUGCAAUAAAGCCAAUAACUCACAAGCGUCUAAUUGAAAAAGAGCUCGAGGGAUUUGGCAUAAGGUCAGUCAGCUAUAGCUUUGUUUCUGGUCUGUAAUUUGUAUAGUUUUGUCAUUUUGUUACUUCAGUUUAGCAGAUCUUAAGGCAAUUUAUGCAUUGUGUUGAAUUUAUUCAACUUAAAUGUGAUUCAUUCAUCCAAGGUGUUGGCUUCUGUUAGGGUUCUUCGAGAUCUGAUUUUAGAGAGCGAUUCACCUCAUAUCAUCAUGACCAUGCACGAACCACAGUUAAUGAAUUAGGUUCAAUUCCGCUAUUAAAAUUUCAUUGGCGUCUGUCAGGUUUUUUGAUACAGAAUGUAAGUGACCCCACUUCACGUACUCUGAAAGUAUCUAAGCUUGGUAAUGAUUUUGACGGGCAUGUCUGAUGCCUUCUCAAACAUGAAUAGCCUGUGGGGUUUAAGAUUGAUAUCAAUUCCCAAUUGUGGAAUUGAUAUCAAAGGCAGAUUGUAAAACUGAUAUCAAAGCCAAUAGUAAGUGUCUGGGGGCUUCUUGGUAUGAUAGUUAUGUCUGUUAUGUGUUUGUUUUAUUUCCGUCUGUUCUUAGAGCGUACUCCUUAUCCUUUGAUAUGUAAUUUGUGUUAGCUUAAAUGAAAGGUUUGUCUCUUCUCAAAAAAUGAUGAAUCCAACAUGUUACUCUAUGGUCUUUAAAUCCCACGGUGUGUUCGAAGUGCUGGAUGAGUUGUGCUUUUACAAACCCUAAUAAAAUUAUAUUUGAAUCAUGCUGUCUGAUAACUCUGUUUUUCCUUUUUUCCUGUUUGUGGUUUUUAGUCUGUCAUUUAAUUGGUGUAGCUUUGCUAGGAUCUCUGUUCCAACAGUGUGUGAUUAGUGCUAAUGGAAUUUUAGCACUGUUUCUGAGCUAUUGUUCGAAUUAUUGUAUUAUACAUUCAAUUGAGCCAAUGAAGCAUGUGUGCCAACGAAUUUUUAAGAGUUUGGCUUCGUUUUCUCCCUUUGGUCUUUAAUAUUUAAGUGUGAGGCACCUGGUUGUUGACUAAUUGAGUCCCUUCUCUAAGUUUUUUAGUAGAUAUUGUGUAAUUUGCUUUUAUGAGCACUUCUUUAAGCCGUCAAGUUCCCAAAAUGUACAAGGAGAUAUCAAGUUUAACAAGUCACGAACUGUGAUCAAUCCAAAUGCAGUGAAAUUAGAGAUUUUACAUUUAAAAACUCAGUUAGCUUUAGACCAUAGGAUUAGCAUUUUGCACAUGUGAGUAUCAUUGACCUGCUCAUUUUAUUUUUCUAGAUAAGAAACAAACUGUCAUUCAAGGGAGAAGAAAGUGUACAAAAACAAAGUUUCUGUAAGCUUGCAUUUAUAUGCCUAAUAUUUUAAUUCCUUUUCUUGGCAUUACCUAUUGAAAUGGUUGCCUACACUACAGGACACAUUUGUGUGAACUACAUGUUUCUUCUGUUUUUUAAGGAAACAAAACUAUUUUGGAAACCAUAUAUUUCUAAUCAAAGACGUUCAGUUUCUUCCCACUCAUUGUACAAUGUGUUUGUAUGCUAGCUCACUUGAAUGUAUAUAAAAGCAAAACUGCUUAUCUUAUCGAUCUCAUUCACUCAUGUAUCCUUUCAUAAUUGUGUUGAAUUUAUUUAACUUAAAUGUGUUUAUAUGCAUUUUUUAGUUGAACUACUAUAUUUUUGUUCAAUUGACUGCAACUCAUGCCGCAGUUUGCUUCACAAACCUCUACGGUUAGCUUCCAUACAAUAUGUUGCAAGUUUGAGGAUAUCUCUACAUCUUAAUUUUUGCUCUCUGGUUGCUUCAAGUUUGUAAUUUUACGUGCUACAUUGCCGUUUGAUUUGAUUAUAAAAAUGUAAAACAAAAUCUGUCCAUGAUUUACAAAUUUGUAUUCAAUUUUUGAUGUUUUUCCAGUGUAAGGCAUAUGUUGCACAAGUGAGGUACGUAGAUUGCAGGGCAUAUAUUUUGCUGUCUUAACUGCAGGGGCAAAAUAUGUGUAAACUGUAGCUUGCAUCUGUUUCUUCAGUUUGGUAUGGAAACAAACCUUCUGCUUAUUUUUGCCUUUGAAAAGUUGUGGUUACAAAAUUAACUACUUGAACAAGUCCUCAACACUCUCUAUUUUUAAUUAUCUGUUGAAAUGGCCGUCUACACUGCAUGACACAUUAUAUAUGUGAACUAAAUGUUUCUUUUGUUUCUUAAGGAAACAGAACUUUUUUUGAAACCAUCUCUUUCUAA